rnacentral:rRNA from 1 species
AGAAUCAACGCUGGCGGCGUGCCUAACACAUGCAAGUCGCACGAGAAAGGGGACUUCGGUCCCUGAGUAAAGUGGCGCACGGGUGAGUAACACGUGACUAACCUACCCUCGAGUGGGGAAUAACCUAGGGAAACCUGGGCUAAUACCGCAUAACACUUACGAGUCAAAGCAGCAAUGCGCUUGAGGAGGGGGUCGCGGCAGAUUAGCUAGUUGGCGGGGUAAUGGCCCACCAAGGCAAUGAUCUGUA